GAUGAAGAACGCAGCAAAAUGCGAUACUUGGUGUGAAUUGCAGAAUCCCGUGAACCAUCGAGUUUUUGAACGCAAGUUGCGCCCAAAGCCUUUUGGCCGAGGGCACGUCUGCCUGGGCGUCACGCAUCGCGUCGCCCCCCACAAUUCUUCGUAAAGGGAACAUGUGUUUUGGGGGCGGAUAUUGGUCUCCCGUGCUCAUGGCGUGGUUGGCCGAAAUAGGAGUCCUUUCGAUGGACGCACGAACUAGUGGUGGUCGUAAAAACCCUCGUCUUUUGUUUCGUGCUGUUGCUCGCAAGGUAAACUCUUUAAAAACCCCAAUGUGUCGUCUCUUGACGACGCUUCGACCGCGACCCCAGGUCAGGCGGGACUACCCGCUGAGUUUAAGCAUAUCAAUAAGCGGAGGA
rnacentral:misc_RNA from 1 species